AAGAAAACCGAAAGUGGCUUUUUGAGCGCCUAUUACCACAUGCGGUCAUUGGAAGGAGAUUACGGCAGUUGAAACAAAUACGUAAAGGACUUAAAGAAACCAGAGUGUGGCCACUGUUGAGUGAAAGGAAAGAUGUGGAAAUCUUUCUGAGGGAAAAUGAAAAUUCACGUAACUCACCCCAUCGAUGCUGCUCAAUGUAUCUGCUGGCCCUCGGAUAUCAGUGUGAAUGAUGAGAGGACAAAGACGACGAAGAUUGUUCGCUAGAAGAUAGAUGUCACAUCUCGUGGUAUUUGCGUCACUUUAUUGAAGACAG